GUCUACGGCCAUACCACUGUGAAAACACCGCUUCUCGUCUGCUCCGCGAAGUUAAGCCCCGUCGGGCCGGGAUAGUACUUGGAUGGGUGACCGCCUGGGAACUCCCGGUGCUGUAGACG